GGAUGAACGCUAGCUACAGGCUUAACACAUGCAAGUCGAGGGGCAGCAUUGGAGUAGCAAUACUCAGAUGGCGACCGGCGCACGGGUGAGUAACACGUAUCCAACCUGCCGCGUUACUCGGGGAUAGCCUUUCGAAAGAAAGAUUAAUACCCGAUGGUAUAAGAGUUCGCAUGUUCUCUUUAUUAAAGAAUUUCGGUAAGCGAGUGGGGAUGCGUUCCAUUAGAUAGUUGGCGGGGUAACGGCCCACCAAGUCUACGAUGGAUAGGGGUUCUGAGAGGAAGGUCCCCCCACAUUGGAACUGAGACACGGUCCAAACUCCUACGGGAGGCAGCAGUGAGGAAUAUUGGUCAAUGGACGAGAGUCUGAACCAGCCAAAGUAGCGUGAAGGAUGACUGCCCUAUGGGUUGUAAACUUCUUUUAUAAGGGAAUAAAGUGAGGGACGUGUCCCUUUUUGUAUGUACCUUAUGAAUAAGGAUCGGCUAACUCCGUGCCAGCCGCCGC
rnacentral:rRNA from 1 species